GAACUUAAGCAUAUCAAUAAGCGGAGGAAAAGAAACCAACAGGGAUUGCCUCAGUAACGGCGAGUGAAGCGGCAACAGCUCAAAUUUUAAAGCUGGCGUCUUCGACGUCCGCAUUGUAAUUUGGAGAGGCAUCUUCGGAUUGGGCGCCAGCCUAUGUUCCUUGGAACAGGACGUCACAGAGGGUGAGAAUCCCGUGCUUGGCUGGCUGUCCCAUUUCAUGUGAAGUGUCUUCGACGAGUCGAGUUGUUUGGGAAUGCAGCUCAAAAUGGGUGGUAAAUUUCAUCUAAAGCUAAAUAUUGGUGGGAGACCGAUAGCGCACAAGUAGAGUGAUCGAAAGAUGAAAAGCACUUUGAAAAUAGAGUUAAAAAGUACGUGAAAUUGUUGAAAGGGAAGCGCUUGAGACCAGACUCGGCUGGUGAUGAUCAGCUGUCCUUUUGGGCAGUGCACUUGUCGCCGGUUGGGCCAGCAUCGGUUGAGACGGCGGGAUAAAGGUUUUGGGAAUGUGGCUCCUCUCGGGGAGUGUUAUAGCCCAGAAUGCAAUGCCGCCAGCCUCGACCGAGGACCGCGCUUCGGCUAGGAUGCUGGCAUAAUGGUCUUCAGCGACCCGUCUUGAAACACGGACCAAGGAGUCUAACAUCUAUGCGAGUGUUUGGGUGUCAAACCCUUGCGCGAAAUGAAAGUGAACGGAGGUGGGAACCCGCAAGGGCGCACCAUCGACCGGUCCUGAUGUCUUCGGAUGGAUCUGAGUAGGAGCAUAGCUGUUGGGACCCGAAAGAUGGUGAACUAUGCCUGAAUAGGGUGAAGCCAGAGGAAACUCUGGUGGAGGCUCGCAGCGGUUCUGACGUGCAAAUCGAUCGUCAAAUUUGGGUAUAGGGGCGAAAGACUAAUCGAACCAUCUAGUAGCUGGUUCCUGCCGAAGUUUCCCUCAGGAUAGCAGUAACG
rnacentral:rRNA from 1 species